UACGUAGGGGGCUAGCGUUGUCCGGAAUCAUUGGGCGUAAAGAGCGCGUAGGCGGCCAGAUAAGUCCGGUGUGAAAGUCAAAGGCUCAACCUUUGAAUGCCGCUGGAAACUGUCUGGCUAGAGUCCGGGAGGGGCGAGUGGAAUUCCUGGUGUAGCGGUGAAAUGCGCAGAUAUCAGGAAGAACACCUAUGGCGAAGGCAGCACUCUGGGACGGUACUGACGCUGAGACGCGAAAGCGUGGGGAGCGAACAGG
rnacentral:rRNA from 1 species